GUCUCCACUGUGUAGCCUUGGAGAAGUUACUUCACUCUCACGGCCUCACUUUCCUCCUCUGUGAAACGGGUUGCUGUGAGGAUUCAAUAAGUAAAGUGCUUAGGGGAGGCCAGGAGCUGUAUAAACAGCAGACUGUAAGCCCUCUGAGGAUAAACAAAGCUGCUGUGAACAUUCGCUGAGGUGCCGGUGCAGGUGUGCCAGUGUCCUGAACAAUGCCAGCACUGCAUCUGAUCCUUACAACAUCAUUUUCCAGGAGGGGAAACUGAGUCUCAGAGAGGCCAAGCGCCAUGACCAAGGAACACAGGGCUCUCAGGUUUCCAUAUUAUGUUUUGAGGACCAGUCUUCCUCACCCGUAGAAGAGGAAACAGUCACUUGUUAUUGUGAAAGAAAAAAGUGUUUGCAAAGAUCUUAGCUCUGGACUUAGUUCAUACUAAAUCUUCAAUGAAAUAAAGAUGAAAAUAUACUAGAUAAACGUGUAACUCACUCAAGCCCCUACCCCAGUUGCGAUGCUCACACUCUGCCUCCCUAAGAGAACAGGGCAGCCUGCAAGAGCCCCGCCCACUCCUCCCAGAGGCCAGGAGAGCACCGGACAGUUGGCAGGUGCUGCCUAGCCCAGCUGCCGACCACAUGGACAUCUGGAUCCCAGGAAGGGAUCAACCCAAACUCUCUCCCACAUUACUAAAGGACUGAGACACGCCAAGGCACCUGCCCAAGGCCUGUGUGGCCAGGAUGGCUGCCCUCCGGAGUGGGAAGGAAGCUGCCAGUUUCGAUCUGCACUGGUAAGGAGGGCGGCAAACCUGGUCACUCCCUGAGGAAUAGGCCACUCCCAGCCCGCCUGCUUCUCACGU